UACGUAGGGUGCGAGCGUUGUCCGGAAUUAUUGGACGUAAAGAGCGUGUAGGCGGUUUGGUAGGUCCGCUGUGAAAACUCGAGGCUCAACCUCGAGACGCCGGUGGAAACCAUCAGGCUAGAGUCCGGAAGAGGAGAGUGGAAUUCCUGGUGUAGCGGUGAAAUGCGCAGAUAUCAGGAAGAACACCCGUGGCUAAGGCGGCUCUCUAGUACGGUACUGACGCUGAGACGCGAAAGCGUGGGGAGCGAACAGG
rnacentral:rRNA from 1 species